rnacentral:rRNA from 1 species
AUUGAACGCUGGCGGCAGGCCUAACACAUGCACGUCGCACGAGUGGCGGACGGGUGAGUAAUGUCUGGGAAACUGCCUGAUGGAGGGGGAUAACUACUGGAAACGGUAGCUCAUCCCGCAUACCAUCAGAUGUGCCCAGAUGGGAUUAGCUUGUUGGUGGGGUCACGGCUCCCCAAGGCGACGAUCCCUAGCUGUUCUGAGAGGAUGACCAGCCACACUGGAACUGAGAGACGGUCCAGACUCCUACGCGAGGCAGCAGUGGGGAAUAUUGGACAAAGGGCGAAAGCCUGAUGCAGCCAUGCCGCGUGUAUGAAGAAGGCCUUCGGGUUGUAAAGUACGUGCAGCGGGGAGGCGUGACACGGAGAAGAAGCACCGGCUAACUCCGUGCCAGCAGCCGCGGUAAUAG